GUGGGGUGAUGGCCUACCAAGGCGACGACGGGUAGCCGGCCUGAGAGGGCGACCGGCCACACUGGGACUGAGACACGGCCCAGACUCCUACGGGAGGCAGCAGUGGGGAAUAUUGCGCAAUGGGCGGAAGCCUGACGCAGCGACGCCGCGUGAGGGAUGAAGGCCUUCGGGUUGUAAACCUCUUUCAGCAGGGACGAAGCGAGAGUGACGGUACCUGCAGAAGAAGCACCGGCCAACUACGUGCCAGCAGCCGCGGUAAUACGUAGGGUGCAAGCGUUGUCCGGAAUUAUUGGGCGUAAAGAGCUCGUAGGCGGCCUGUCGCGUCGGCUGUGAAAACUCGGGGCUCAACCCCGAGCCUGCAGUCGAUACGGGCAGACUAGAGUGCUGUAGGGGAGACUGGAAUUCCUGGUGUAGCGGUGAAAUGCGCAGAUAUCAGGAGGAACACCGGUGGCGAAGGCGGGUCUCUGGGCAGUAACUGACGCUGAGGAGCGAAAGCGUGGGGAGCGAACAGGAUUAGAUACCCUGGUGGUCCACGCCGUAAACGUUGGGCACUAGGUGUGGGGGACAUUCCACGCUUUCCGCGCUGUAGCUAACGCAUUAAGUG
rnacentral:rRNA from 1 species